GGCCCGUUAGCUCAGUUGGUUAGAGCGUGGUGCUAAUAACGCCAAGGUCGUGGGUUCGAUCCCCUCACGGGCCA
rnacentral:tRNA from 1 species